rnacentral:rRNA from 1 species
UACGUAGGGUGCAAGCGUUACUCGGAAUUACUGGGCGUAAAGCGUGCGCAGGCGGUUGUGUAAGUCUGUCGUGAAAUCCCCGGGCUCAACCUGGGAAUUGCGAUGGAGACUGCACGGCUAGAGUGUGUCAGAGGGGGGUAGAAUUCCACGUGUAGCAGUGAAAUGCGUAGAGAUGUGGAGGAAUACCGAUGGCGAAGGCAGCCCCCUGGGAUAACACUGACGCUCAUGCACGAAAGCGUGGGGAGCAAACAGG